AAUCAACGCUGGCGGCGUGCCUAACACAUGCAAGUCGAACGCGAAAGGGGAGCAAUCCCUGAGUAGAGUGGCAAACGGGUGAGUAACACGUGGGUGACCUGCCUUCGAGUGGGGGAUAACGUCCCGAAAGGGACGCUAAUACCGCAUGACAUCCUGCUCUUGGAAGAGCGGAGAUCAAAGCUGGGGAUCGCAAGACCUGGCGCUUGAAGAGGGGCCCGCGCCUGAUUAGCUAGUUGGUAGGGUAAUGGCCUACCAAGGCAACGAUCAGUAUCCGGCCUGAGAGGGCGGACGGACACACUGGGACUGAGACACGGCCCAGACUCCUACGGGAGGCAGCAGUGGGAAUUGUUCGCAAUGGGCGCAAGCCUGAUCCAGCAAUGCCGCGUGGGUGAAGAAGGUUUUCGGAUUGUAAGGCCC
rnacentral:rRNA from 1 species